rnacentral:lncRNA from 1 species
UGAUCUGGUACCAAGCAGUUCUCAGCAGUGUAGCCGGAUGAAAAACUACUCAGGCUGACUGAGAUGCUUUCAUCUUGAAGCUCAGACCCGUGUUGGGCAUAGCUCAGACGAUGAAGAAUGGCAGAUGCAUUCAUUUGAGGUUGGAGUUUAUUCUGCGGUGUAAGUCAGUCCCAAACCAGCAGAUUCCAUCAGUGAUUACCCUGUCAUGUCUGAUCUUGUGAACGGGGCGGCUUUCAGGACAGAAGAGGCUGGUGCUGUGGAGGCCGUGCCAUACUUCUGCUGCCACUCUCUUACACCCAGUCGGUCCCCAUGCAGGGACGUCCCACUCCGCCCUGGCUCCCUAACGUAGGAGCUAGGGUCACUUCCCACCUUCCUCCAACUAAGCUGCUGCCAGCGACCCUACCUGACGCUGUUGCUUCCUGUUGAACAGCUGGGUAGAGGCCGGCAGAGCCCUCAGGGGCACCCUGGGGGUCCUGGACGCAGUGCUGUGCUUGGGGCUAUGCCUGGCGUUUUCAGCUCCUGGCUGCUCAAGGUGGACUUGCAUGCCUGGGUUUGCCCCCAACCCUGGGAAAGGGCCCAGCACCCCGAGAGGUUUUCUCUGAGCUGGGUACAGCAGGCUCUGCUUUGCAACCAGGAGCUCCAAGUAGCAGCUGGCACAGAAAGGAGAGACGGCCGCAGUCACAGCCCACCCAAGGCAGAGUGGGAUGUUGAAUUUUAAGCCCUGGAUAAGGUGGCCUGUUAGGUGUACGCUCUUGGGAUGCCUGUCUGUAAAAGACCCGGAGGAAAGAGAGCGGAGGAGAAGACGGCCAAGGCUGCCUGUGUUGGAACCGGCAUGCGGAGUCAUCUCGCAGGGGCUCAAACCGCAAGUUUGGCUGGCUGAUUGGGCAUUAAGUCAGCCUUUGUUUUUGCUCCCAAGCAACACAGCCUACCAGCCUGGAGCGCCCUGCACAUUCCUAGUGAGGUUUUGUAUCGGGGCCAAGACGAGUUUCAUCAGUGCAGAUAAACAAAGUUCGCUGCUUGUGAUUUGCUGGCGCAAACACGCCUGCCUGUGGUUCCCAGAGCCCCGGUCUGGGACUGGCUCUUCGUGGCCAUCUUCUGGGCUGGUGCUGGGGGAGACUGGCGCACAUACCAGAUGCUGA